ACCGCGUGAAGUUCUCCCGCCUGGGGAGUACGGCCCGCAUGGUUAAAACUCAAAGGAAUUGACGGGGGCCCCGCACAAGCGGUGGAGCAUGUGGUUUAAUUCGAUGCAACGCGAAGAACCUUACCUGCCCUUGACAUCCUCGGAACUUGUCAGAGAUGACUUGGUGCCUUCGGGAACCGAGUGACAGGUGCUGCAUGGCUGUCGUCAGCUCGUGUCGUGAGAUGUUGGGUUAAGUCCCGCAACGAGCGCAACCCUUGUCCUUAGUUGCCAGCAUUUAGUUGGGCACUCUAGGGAGACUGCCGGUGACAAACCGGAGGAAGGUGGGGAUGACGUCCAAGUCAUCCAUGGCCCUUAUGGGCAGGGCUACACACGUGC
rnacentral:rRNA from 1 species